AACAGGAUUAGAUACCCUGGUAGUCCACGCUGUAAACGAUGUCGAUUUGGAGGUUGUGCCCUUGAGGCGUGGCUUCCGGAGCUAACGCGUUAAAUCGACCGCCUGGGGAGUACGGCCGCAAGGUUAAAACUCAAAUGAAUUGACGGGGGCCCGCACAAGCGGUGGAGCAUGUGGUUUAAUUCGAUGCAACGCGAAGAACCUUACCUACUCUUGACAUCCAGAGAACUUUCCAGAGAUGGAUUGGUGCCUUCGGGAACUCUGAGACAGGUGCUGCAUGGCUGUCGUCAGCUCGUGUUGUGAAAUGUUGGGUUAAGUCCCGCAACGAGCGCAACCCUUAUCCUUUGUUGCCAGCGGUUCGGCCGGGAACUCAAAGGAGACUGCCAGUGAUAAACUGGAGGAAGGUGGGGAUGGCGUCAAGUCAUCAUGGCCCUUACGAGUAGGGCUACACACGUGCUACAAUGGCGUAUACAAAGAGAAGCGACCUCGCGAGAGCAAGCGGACCUCAUAAAGUACGUCGUAGUCCGGAUUGGAGUCUGCAACUCGACUCCAUGAAGUCGGAAUCGCUAGUAAUCGUAGAUCAGAAUGCUACGGUGAAUACGUUCCCGGGCCUUGUACACACCGCCCGUCACACCAUGGGAGUGGGUUGCAAAAGAAGUAGGUAGCUUAACCUUCGGGAGGGCGCUUACCACUUUGUGAUUCAUGACUGGGGGUGAAGUCGUAACAAGGUAACC
rnacentral:rRNA from 1 species